rnacentral:rRNA from 1 species
AUGCCCGGCCGUGCCCCGGUCUCCUCCACGGCCGCACCUACCUGCCGGCUUCCUGCUCCAGCGGGCGAUCGGCUCGCGCUGUCUCCGCAUCUCGGCCGUCUCGCCGCCUACCAGCGUGGCUGGCUCCUCGCCCCCGAACAGCUCCCUAACACGCGGCUCCGGCAGUUGACUGCCGCCGCUCGGCCCCUCCGCCCCGCCAGCUGGGUCCGCGCGCCUCGCCGUCGGCGCCUGCGGCGCUGGCUCCUGCUGUGGCCGGCUGCUCGUACGAGAGAGGGCCGACUGCCCAAGCCGGCUACUCAGCCAGAAGAAGAAAGAAAAGACAACAGCCAGCUGCUAGCCCAAAAGAAAAAGGUGAUGAAUAGUUGUGUCCGAUUGCUCAAGGCCGGCUGGGAGAAAAAGAAAGAAGAGAGAGGCCGGCUGCUCAGCCCGGGCUGA